rnacentral:rRNA from 1 species
GACGAACGCUGGCGGCGUGCUUAACACAUGCAAGUCGAACGAUGAAGCUGGAGCUUGCUCCGGUGGAUUAGUGGCGAACGGGUGAGUAACACGUGAGCAAUCUGCCCUUGACUCUGGGAUAACUGCGGGAAACUGUAGCUAAUACCGGAUACUUUCACUGGAAGGCAUCUUCUGGUGAAGAAAGAAUUUCGGUCAAGGAUGAGCUCGCGGCCUAACAGCUUGUUGGUGAGGUAACGGCUCACCAAGGCGACGACGGGCAGCCGGCCUGAGAGGGUGACCGGCCACACUGGGACGGAGACACGGCCCAGACUCCUACGGGAGGCAGCAGUGGGGAAUAUUGCACAAUGGGCGCAAGCCUGAUGCAGCAACGCCGCGUGAGGGAUGAAGGCCUUCGGGUUGUAAACCUCUUUUAGCAGGGAAGAAGCGAAAGUGACGGUGCCUGCAGAAAAAGCACCGGCUAACUACGUGCCAGCCGCCGCCGUAA